rnacentral:rRNA from 1 species
CCUACGGGCGGCUGCAGUGGGGAAUAUUGGGCAAUGGAGGCAACCCUGACCCAGCAACGCCGCGUGAAUGAUGAAGGUCUUCGGAUUGUAAAGUUCUGUGAUGGGGGAUGAACACAAUGACGGUACCCCAAUAGCAAGCCAUGGCUAACUACGGGCCAGCAGCCGCGGUAAUACGGAGGUGGCAAGCGUUAUCCGGAAUGCCUGGGCGUAAAGGGUGCGUAGGUGGUUUAGUAAGUUGGCGGGGUAAUUCCGGGGCUCAACCUCGGCGCUACCGCCAAAACUAUUAGACUAGAGUGCAGGAGAGGUAUGGGGAAUGCGUGGUGUAGCGGUGGAAUGCGUAGAUAUCAGGAGGAACAUCAGGGGCGAAGGCGACUUACUGGACUGUAACUGACGCUGAAGCACGAAAGCGUGGGGAGCAAACAGGAUUAGAUACCCGUGUAGUC